rnacentral:rRNA from 1 species
GACGAACGCUGGCGGCGUGCUUAACACAUGCAAGUCGAACGGAAAGGCCCUGCUUUUGUGGGGUGCUCGAGUGGCGAACGGGUGAGUAACACGUGAGUAACCUGCCCUUGACUUUGGGAUAACUUCAGGAAACUGGGGCUAAUACCGGAUAGGAGCUCCUGCUGCAUGGUGGGGGUUGGAAAGUUUCGGCGGUUGGGGAUGGACUCGCGGCUUAUCAGCUUGUUGGUGGGGUAGUGGCUUACCAAGGCUUUGACGGGUAGCCGGCCUGAGAGGGUGACCGGCAACAGUGGGAGUGAGAGACGGCACGGGCUCAUGCGGGAGGCAGCAGUGGGGAAUGUUGAACAAGGGGGGGAGGGCUGAAGAAGCAAGGCGCCGGGCAGGAUGAGGGACUGCGGGUUGUAAACCGUGAACGCCUGGGACGAAGCGUGAGAGAAGGAAAUGGGUAAAGAAGCACCGGCUAACUACGUG